rnacentral:rRNA from 1 species
UACGUAGGGGGCGAGCGUUGUCCGGAUUUAUUGGGCGUAAAGGGCUCGUAGGCGGUUUGUCGCGUCGGGAGUGAAAACCUCGGGCUUAACUCGGGGCUUGCUUUCGAUACGGGCAGACUGGAGGUAUGCAGGGGAGAACGGAAUUCCUGGUGUAGCGGUGAAAUGCGCAGAUAUCAGGAGGAACACCGGUGGCGAAGGCGGUUCUCUGGGCCUUACCUGACGCUGAGGAGCGAAAGCGUGGGGAGCGAACAGG